rnacentral:misc_RNA from 1 species
GAUGAAGAACGUAGCGAAAUGCGAUAAGUAAUGUGAAUUGCAGAAUUCAGUGAAUCAUCGAAUCUUUGAACGCACAUUGCGCCCGCGAGUAUUCUCGCGGGCAUGCCUGUCCGAGCGUCAUUUCAACCCUCAGGGCCCGCCUGCUUCGGCAGGCGCGGCGCUGGUGUUGGGGAUCGGCCUAACCGCCGUCCCCCAAAUACAGUGGCGGUCUCGCUGCAGCCUCCCCUGCGUAGUAGCAACACUCGCAUGCGGAGCGCGGCGCGGCCACGCCGUAAAACCCCCGACUUUCUGAACGUUGACCUCGGAUCAGGUAGGAAUACACGCUGAACUUAAGCAUAUCAAUAAGCGGAGGA